UACGGAGGGUGCAAGCGUUAUCCGGAUUCACUGGGUUUAAAGGGUGCGUAGGCGGGCAUGUAAGUCCGUGGUGAAAUCUCCGAGCUUAACUCGGAAACUGCCAUGGAUACUAUGUGUCUUGAAUGUUGUGGAGGUGGGCGGAAUAUGUCAUGUAGCGGUGAAAUGCUUAGAUAUGACAUAGAACACCAAUUGCGAAGGCAGCUCACUACACAAAUAUUGACGCUGAGGCACGAAAGCGUGGGGAUCAAACAGG
rnacentral:rRNA from 1 species